GUCGGUAUUUCCGUCAGGGAGAAGCCCGCGUGGCAUUCUCGCAAUGAGUCAGUCGAAGAAGACAAAUGAAAGGGAAUGGACACAUCUGUAUGGACUAAGAACUCAUCAAAAAAAACCCAUAAAGCUUUUCGAUGAACUAAACUAUGAUAUACGGAAAUAGGAGUAUUGUAAAUAAUCGAAGAAUACGAACUAACUAGAACGAAGUUUGGCAUUUUUUAACAAUAAACUGUAACCGCA